rnacentral:lncRNA from 1 species
GCUGAGUUCCAUUGUAUCCCAAGAAACAGGAGAGUCACACCAAGGAGACGGCUUGACUUCAGCUUCCCCUUUUCCUUUCUUCCCAGCCAGGAUGCUUCUGGCUGGCCCAGAAGUAAGUUCACAUAUUGUGCCAGGCAGCCAGAGAACAGCUCCUUAGUGCUUGCACUGUGCAGAUCCUAGGCCUUGACUGCCCAAGUGAGAAAUGUGUACUUUGUUUCAAAAGCAAUGGAAAGUCACCUAAAGACUUGAAGCUUAGAAAUGAAUGAAUGGAUCAGAACUCUGCUUUUAGCCAGGGUCUAUGACAUCAGUGGACUGUGUAGGAAAAGGAAUAAGAAUGAAAUCCAAGCCCAAAAGAGCUAUUCCAGAGUGUGGAGAGCAUGCACUACUGCAGGCAAAAAUACUUUAUCCAGUAGGAGACCAAGGUGUGCUGCAUCCUACAAACAACCAAAGACCUGAUUCUGAGAUAAGCACAAGUGGUGACUCCAGUUGCAGCUGCUGCACCAGAUGUGGUUUCAUUGCUUGAGCAAAUUAACACAUCUCCUUGUACCUGCUAUGCAGCCAUUGACUUGGCAAAUGCCUUUUUCUCCAUUCCUGUCCAUAAGGCCCACCAGAAGCAAUUUGCCUCCAGCUGGCAAGGCCAACAAUAUACCUUUGCUGUCCUACCUUAGGGGUAUAUCAAUUCUCAAGUUUUGUGUCAUAAUCUUAUUCAGAGAGACCUUGAUUUCUUUUCACUUCCACAAGAUAUCACACUGGUCCAUUUCGCUGAUGACAUUAUACUGAUUGGAUCCAGUGAGAAAGAAUAGCAAACACGCUGGAGUUAUUGGUAAGACAUUUACAUGCCAGAGGAUGGGAAAUAAAUCCAACUAAAAUUCAGGGAACUUCAACCUCAGUAAAAUUUCUAGGGGUCCAGUGGUGUGGAGCCUGUCAAGAUAUUCCUUCUAAGGCAAAGGAUAAGUUGCUGCAUUUGGCCCCUCCUACAACCAAGAAAGAGGCACAAUGCCUAUUGAGCCCAUGUGGAUUCUGGAGGCAACACAUUCCUCAUUUGGGUGUGUUACUUCAGCCCAUUUAUUGAGUGACCCGAAGGCCACCAGUUUUAAGUAGGGUCCAGAAUAGUAGAAGGCACUGCAGCAGGUCCAGGCUGCUUUGCAAGAUGCUCUGCCACUUGGGCCAUAUGACCCAGCAAGUCCAAUGGUACUUGAGGCGUCAGUGGCAGAUAGGGAUGCUGUUUGGAGCCUUUGGCAGGCCCCCAUAGGUGAACCCCAGUGGAGGCCUCUAGGAUUUUGGAGCAAGGCCAUCCUCUACAGAAAACUACUCUCCUUUCAAGAGACAGCUCUUGGCCUGUUACUGGGCUUUGGUGGAAACUGAACGUUUGACUGUGGGUCAUCAAGUCACCAUGUGACCUGAACUGCCCAUCAUGAACUGGGUGCUUUCUGACCCAUCUAGCCAUAAAAUGGGUCAUGCACAGCAGCAUUCCAUCAGCCAAUGGAAGUGGUAUAUAUGUGAUCGGGCUCGAGCAGGUCCUGAAGGCACAAGUAAGUUACAUGAGGAAGUGGCUCAAAUGCCCAUGGUCUCCACCUCUGCCACCCUGCUUUCUCUUCCCCAGCCUGCACUGAUGGCCUCAUGGGGAGUUCCCUAUAAUCAGUUGACAGAGGAAGAGAAGACUAGGGCCUGGUUCACAGAUGGUUCUGCACGAUAUGCAGGCACUAUCCGAAAGUGGACAGCUGCAGCACUACAGCCCCUUUCUAGGACAUCCCUGAAGGAUAGAGGUGAAGGGAGAUCUUCCCAGUGGGCAGAACUUCGAGCAGUGCACCUGGUUGUGCACUUUGCCUGGCAGGAGAAGUGGCCAGAUGUGAGAUUAUAUACUGAUUCAUGGGCUGUAGCCAAUGGUUGGACUGGAUGGUCAGGGACUUGGAAGAAGCAUGAUUGGAAAAUUGGUGAUGAAGAAAUUUGGGGAAAAGACAUGUGGAUGGACCUUCUGAGUGGUCAAAACCGUGAAGAUAUUUGCAUCCCAUGUGAGUGCUCACCAGUGGGUGACCUCAGCAGAGGAGGAUUUUAAUAAUCAAGUGGAUAGGAUGACCUGUUCUGUGGACACCACUCAGCCCCUUUCCCCAGCCACCCAGUCAUCGCCCAAUGGGCCCAUGAACAAAGUGGCCAUGGUGGCAGGGAUGGAGGUUACACAUGGGGUCAGCAACAUGGACUUCCAGUCACCAAAGCUGACCUGGCUACGGCCACUGCUGAGUGGCCACCACUAGAGACCAACAGUGAGCCCUCGAUAUGGCACUAUUCCUGAGGGUGAACAGCCAGCUACCUGGUGGCAGGUUGAUUAUAUUGGACUUCUUCCAUCAUGGAAAGGGCAGAGGUUUGUCCUCACUGGAAUAGACACUUACUGUGGAUAUGGGUUUGCCUAUUCUGCAUGCAAUGCCUCUGCCAAGACUACCAUCCGUGGGCUCACGGAAUGCCUUAGCCACUGUCGUGGUAUUCCACACAACAUUGCCUCUGACCAAGGCACUCACUUUGUGGCUAAAGAAGUGUGGCAGUGGGCUCAUGCUCAUGGAAUUCACUGGUCUUACCAUGUUCCCCAUCAUCCUGAAGCAACUGGAUUGAUAGAACGGUGGAAUGGCCUUUUGAAGUCUCAAUUACAAUGCCAACUAGAUGACAAUACUUUGCAGGGCUGAGACAAAGUUCUCCAGAAGGCCCUGUAUGCUCUGAAUCAGCGUCCUAUAUAUAUAUGGUACUGUUCCUCCCAUGGCCAGGAUUCACGGGUCCAAGAAUCAAGGUGCAGAAGUAGAAGUGGCACCACUCACCAUCACCCCUAGUGACCCACUAGCAAAAUUUCUGCUUCCUGUUCCCACGAUAUUAUAUUUUGCUGGCCUAGAGGUCUUAGUUCCAGAGGGAGGAAAGCUGCCACCAGGAGAUACAACAACGAUUUCAUUAAACUGGAAGUUAAGAUUGCCACCUGGACACUUUGGGCUCCUCCUACCUUUAGGUCAACAGGCUAAGAAGGGAAUUACAGUGUUGGCUGAGAUGAUUGACCCAGAUUAUCAAGUUGAAAUCAGCCUACUACUCCAUAACGGAGGUAAGGAAGAGUAUGCAUGGAAUACAGGAGAACCAUUAGGGCAUCUCUUGAUAUUACCAUCCUCUGUGAUUAAGGUCAAUGGGAAACUACAACAGCCUAAUCCAGGCAGGACUACACAUGGCCCAGACCUCUCAGGAAUGAAGGUUUGGGUCGCUCCACCAGGGAAAAAACCACAACCUGCUGAGGUGCUUGCUGAAGGCAAAGGGAAUACAGAAUGGGUAGUAGAAGAAGGUGGUCAUUGAUACCAGCUAUGACCACGUGACCAGCUGCAGAAACAGGGACUGUAAUUGUCAUGAGUAUUUCCUCUUCCCUUCUUUUGCUAAAAAUAUGUUUGUGCAGGUAUAUGCUUGUACUAAGAAAAUAUCUUUAUUUUAUUUCCUUUUCCUUUAUCAUGUGACAUAAGAUUUAUUGACUUCAUAUCAGCAUUUAAGUAUUGUUAACUUUAUGUAAUAGUAUUUGGGUUGGGGAUUGGUGCAUUUAUCAUUGUACCAAUGAUAGUCGUAUUAUGUUAGGUGUAAUUAUGACCUUAUUAUUGUCUUUCUUUGAAGAUUAUGUGUGAUCUCAUGAGAUGUGUAUGAGUUCAAGUUGACCAGGGGUGGACUUGUGAUGGUUAAUGCUGAGUGUCAACUUGAUUGGAUUGAAGCAUACAAAGUAUUGAUCCUGGGCGUGUCUGUGAGGAUGUUGCCAAAAGAGAUUAACUUUUGAGUCAGUGGACUGGAGAAGGCAGAUCCACUCUUAAUCUGGUGGGCAAAAUCUAAUCAGCUUCUAGCAAAUACAAAGCAGGCAGGAAAACAUGAAAAGGAGAGACCGGCCCGGCCUCCCAGCCUACAUCUUUCUUCCAUGCUGGUUGCUUCCUGUCCUCGAACAUCGGACUCCAAGUUCUUCAGUUUUGGGACUUGGACUAUCUCUCCUUGCUCCUCAGCUUGCAGACCGCCUAUUGUGGGACCUUGUGAUCAUGUA